rnacentral:rRNA from 1 species
GCUUACGGCCAUACCACCCUGAACACGCCCGAUCUCGUCUGAUCUCGAAGCUAAGCAGGGUCGGGCCUGGUCAGUACUUGGAUGGAGACCGCCUGGGAAUACCAGUGCUGUAAGCU